CACGUAGGCGGACCAGAAAGUUGGAGGUGAAAUCCCAGGGCUCAACCUUGGAACUGCCUUCAAAACUAUUGGUCUGGAGUUCGAGAGAGGUGAGUGGAAUUCCGAGUGUAGAGGUGAAAUUCGUAGAUAUUCGGAGGAACACCAGUGGCGAAGGCGGCUCGCUGGCUCGAUACUGACGCUGAGGUGCGAAAGCGUGGGGAGCAAACA
rnacentral:rRNA from 1 species